rnacentral:lncRNA from 1 species
CAUUUUGCUAAAGUACCUAUUGUGGUUGUUUCCUAGAAAAGGAUCCACAGGAAGCAAAAUUUUGAGUGCUUGCAGCUUUAAAAAUAUCUUUGUUCUUAUCCUCAUACUUUAUUAAAGUUUGGCUGAACAUAAAAUUCUAUAUGGAAAAUAAUUUUUCCUCAGAAUUUUGCUGACUUUGUUCUACUGUCUUCCAGCUUCCAGUGUUGAUAUUAAGAGCUCUGAUAGCAUUCUGAUUUUCCUUCAUUUGUCUGUGACUAGUCUUCCCCCCAAAGCUUUUAUAAUGCAUUGUUUCUGGAGUUCUGCAUGUUGAUGACAGUGUAUCUAGGGAUGGGUAGUUUUUUUUCAUUCAUUAUGCCAGGCUGUAGAUUGAAAGCUCCUUGACCUUCAGUUCUGAAAUUUUUCUUGUAUUACUUCUUUGAUAUUUUCCUGCUUUCUAUUUUCUGUGUUCUUUCUCCUUGAAACUCUUAUUCAGAUAUUAAAACUCCUGGAUAUACCAUUUAAUUUUUUUACUUAUUAUUUCUCCUCUAUUUUCUAUCUGUUCAUCUUCUCAUUUUGCCUAUUGUUAACUUCCUGAUUUUGUUUUCUAGUGUUUAUAUUUAAAAGGUGAUUAAGUCAGUUACAGUGUUUAUUUUCCAAUAUUUCCUUCUUAUUCUCAAAUACACUAAUUCACUUUUUAAACACUUUAUUGUGAAAAAUGUUAAACAAUUUGGUUUUCAAAAUAAUGUCUUACAUAUAUGUGCUCAGUGAGACUUUACAACCAUUACCCUUCCUCUACAGCACUGUGUGGUCCAUGGUCCACACCAAGAAGGUAUUAGGUGAAUAAACGAAAGUUAUAGCUGGCCAAGGCCCCCUGACUUCUGCCUGCCACCUGGCCAUCAGGCUACCAUUCUGACCUCCCACAAUGCUUGGACAAGCAACUUUAAAAAGGAAAUAUAUUCAUCUUCAAUUUCACUCUCAUUUGUAAAUAUUAACAAGUUUAUUUAUUUUUGCCUUUUUUUUUUUUAGGGCCGUAUCAGCAGCAUAUGGAGGUUCCCAGGCUAGGGGUCCAUUCAGAGCUGUAGCUGCUGGCCUAUGCCACAGCCACAGCAACAUGGGAUCCAAGCCACAUCUGCAACAUACACCACAGCUCAUGGCAAUGCUGGAUGCCCGACCCAUGAGCAGGGCCAGGGAUUGAACCCACAUCCUCAUGGAUAAUAGUUGCAUUUCUGCUGCACCACCAUGGGAACCCCCCCAAAAUCCCAGGGACUUACUGCACAGCAGCUUUUUGCUAAGACAAGAGGCAGACUACCAAGUGCUGAGGUAAUCUUUCAGCCGGGCCUGGCUGCCAGCAGCCCCCAUAGCACUCUCCCCACCCAUGAACCUAAAGACCCUGGUUUGAGCCCCAUCUCCAAAAAGUCUGGGCAACCAAUGGCCUCCUCUGGCUCCUGCAAGGAGAUGAGGAUGAUCCUUGGUCUAAAGAUGGCUCUAGAAAAAACUGACUUUUUGGUCUCUAGAACUUUUGAACAUUAGACACUAAGCAGUCUAUUUAAAUGUCAGUGUUCCUUUAAAGAAACUGCACACCUCAAACAGGGCCGUCUAAAAAGUGUUUUAGUGGCUAGCACAUGAGAUCCCUUGCUAAGUGCUCAUACACUAGCAUCCCUCGUCCCCUAACAGAAAUAAGCCACUGGAAUCUGCUUUCUAACACCCUUCUAGAACUCUCCCGUACUUGGAAUCUCAAGCAUGGCACCACUGUGUCUGAAGUACCCAGCAAAGUUAACUGGCAAUGGGAUACAGGAAGGUGGUGUUUUGGUAACACUCUAAGUUGAAUUUUUCACAUAUAAGUUUGAUAAAACCUAACUUCAAAGACUGAUUCAGCUUUGUGAGGCUUUAGAGACCGAUGCAAAUGUACUUUUAGCUUAAAAACAUUACCAAGGGGGGAGAGAAACCUGCAAUAUGACUAAUAUAAGACAAACUUUCAUAUCGCUCAUUGGCAUUAGCCUGAGGAUUAACAUUGGGAGAUGCUUCUCCUGCUGUCAAGCUAGCAGGUGCCCAAAUGUCCCAGGGCAGGCAUGCAUCUCCCAGACCCCAACUUCAUGAAGCCUGCAGCCGUUGCCAUGUCCUUCUGCUAUCACACCCUUCACUCCAGCACCAACACAUUUUUUCAAAGCACCCUCUCCCCCACCUCUGGCUCUGCUCAUCUGCGUGGUUGCAGCCUGUUAUGUAACUGCCACCUUACCAAAGCACCAAAAUGCUGAACUGCUGUAGAGCUGUUAAAUUAUGCAAGACUUGACCUUAUUGCUAGGAAAUACCUAGCAUAUUUUAAUUGUCUUCGGAGGUCCGGGCAGCAUUCUGAAGAGCAAUUACUACAUUAUUAGUCAUUCCCCUGAUCUCUGCUCAUUCACCAAGGAGGAACUGAUAACUGGACUGAUAACCCUGGAGAGCAGUGAGUCACCUCUUUAGAGUCUCAUUAUUUCAUCACAGUUUUCAUGAAAUAAUUGUAACAACUGUGAUCCUUUACUGAACACUGACUAUGUGCCAAAUGCUGUUUCAAGAGUUUUUUAUCCAUUAAUUUGUUAUCCUUGUAACCAUACUAUGGGGUAGGAAUUAUUAUUUUUAUUUUUAUCAUAUGAUUUAUAUUAUACAAUUUAAUUUUUAUAAUAUAAUUAACUUUAUAAUUUUCACUCUCAUCUUAUGGAUGAGGAAACGGGGUCAGAGGGAUGUCAACAGUCACGCAGCUAGAAAUGGUGCAUGGAGGUACAAACUCGGGCAGGCGGUGGGCUCAGAACUUGGCACCAAUCACCACACAAUGGCUCUUCCUCCCUCGCCCUGGCUGGGCUGCGCAAGCUUGCUUUGGAGAACCCAGGCACAUGUUUGGGUUUUGUGUACAUGGAUGUCUUCCGACACAGACACAGCUGUCAGGCCACAGAGGCUGGGCAUCCAUACUUCAGAAGGCACUUAGAAACACCUCAGCCAAGUGGGGUAUUUCCAACAAGAAUGGAAACACUCAAUAUUACACUCGAUAUUUUGCCAAGGUGUGCCUAAAAGGACUUGGAAAAUUAACUUGGCUCUUGGGGCCAAAUGGUCUUGCACAUCAGGAAGUCAGCAGCUUGGGCCCAGGAUGGCUUGGGCCCGAGAAAGUGCAUGGGCCACAGCCCUGCACUGCUGCUGUCACACUCUGCAUGGGGAGCCAGAUAGGGGGGUGACCCAAACCUGAUCCUGAGGUGGGAAACUUCAGAAAAACUUGACAGUGUCCACAGGGACAAAACCAGGGAACUUAGAAAGCAAAACCAAAGACAAGAGUUCGCCUUCUCACAGGUAAUGUGAAGGCUCCAACAUCAGGACCAUCCAGGGAGUUUCACUGCAGAUACUCAGGUCCUUUGCUAGACCUAAUGAAUCAGGGUUUCCUCCUACUGGACGUAGACGUCUGGAUUUUUAGCAAUCUGAUAUAUUCUCAACAAUGAUGCCACUGCUUUGGGUCUCUGGGGCUUUGUGUCCAGAUAUCAGAUAAAAGCUCUAUUUUAAAAGCAAUAUUCAAUUCAGCAAGUAGCAUUCAGACUUGCAAACCAGGGUUCUAGUCUGCUCUAUUAAUGGCUUGCUGGUUGACUGUGGGGGUGUCUCUCAGCAUCUCUGAAUUUCAGUAAGAUCAGGGGACUAGGUUUCUCCCAGCUCUAAAUCCUGUGCUUCCUACUGAGUGUGCCUAAGUAACCUUAUCACACCUAAGUGCUCACUGACACAACCGAUGAGGCCCUAAGAGGAGUGGUCAGAUGAGUACCUGGAAAGGCAAAGACCAGGUAGCAUGGGCUGCAGUAGGUCCUUGACAGUGGGGAGAACCUGGACUGGGAGGCCAUCCUGGCAGGGCAGGCGUCACGGAGCCCCAGAGGUGAGGAUGGGGGAAGUGAGCUGGGAGGGAAAUAAAGCACGUUGAAAUUAAGGGAAAGGUCUGGAAACAAGUUUCCAGGUUAUGGAAGCCCUGGAAAGCCAGGGAGGGGAUGCAGCACACAAUGAAAACUAAAAAGGGGGGCGACAAUAGAAAGGGGCGUUUCAAAGAUUGCUGCGGCAGCCUCUGCAGGAUGAGAAGGCUGGGGGUUGGGGGUUGGGGAGGGCCUGGGGGCUGAGCUAGGAAGUGAAACUUGUGACCCCAAGGACAAGCUUAUUCUGUGGCCUUGACCUGUGGGCCUCCUGAUCUGUGGGAACAAGAGGGGAGAACAUGUCAAUGGGAAAAGCUCCAGGACUCUGGGACUGUGAGUAGUUCUUAGGAUUCUUUUUGUUUACUUGUUUUUGCUUUUUGGUUAUCUGUAGUUUCUGUUCUCCCUGGAGUGAGCUGAUAUUGCUUUGUGAUAAGAAAAAGAAACAUACAGUUCAGCAUUUCCUUUGGGAAACCAGCAAACAAGUCUCCAUCCCUUUGCAGCUCAACCCUCCCUCUCACUAGUUAGGGUCCCUUUAGAACCCCUUUCUCAUACUUUUUUACCCAAUCAUCUGCACCCCAUGCCCCUGUCCCUUUGCUAAGAAGCUUCUGCAGUGCAUUCCUUCUCCUCUUCUGGAACAUUUCUUCAGCCAGCCUUCUAGGCUGCAAAGCCUCACAGCUGCGAGAGGAGGCUUCUCUUGGGGUCCAGGGUCCUGUCUUAGGAAAGAAGGGCAAUAAACUCCCCGCUGUCCCACAGUGCCUCUAGACCAGGACUCCACAGCUCUUUCCAUCAGGCCCUCUCUGAAGUCUUUCUAUCCUUGAAGCCAAUCUCUUAGUACUUGCCUCAAAGUCUUCUCUAAAAGAAUUCCUGUCAUCAUCCUGAAAAAUGCUCCCAUCCAUGACGAAGACCACUGGACCUUCUAGCAUCACCCUGGACCACUGGACCUCCCAGCGAACCCUCAGACCUUCCCAACUUCUAUGACUACUCCUCUACUCCCAUGGCCACCAAGCCGACCUUCAUGCCUCCUAGAAGAUGUCAAACUCUGACAAGCCACCCUGACCAUAAGCACCUGUCCUUUGGCUUCUUGGAUGUUCAUAUUCCAACUAAAUCCCCAGUCCUCGGUACUCUGCCUAAUUCACUUUCCUUCCAAGCAUCCUGGAUAAACUAAAGUCAAUUACUUAAAUUGACCUCAUCAGUAUCCUGAAUUCUCUCAUCCUCUGAAGUCUGCUGAGACAUUCUCUAACCUGGUACCAAUAGUACUUUCCUCCUAGAGAAAAACUGCCCAGCCACACCACUGGGCUCCUUUACCAGAAUUUCAGUAAGGCCUCCAGGUCACUCAACGGCUUACAACCCAGUGAAUCCCUCUCCUACUGUCCUACUCACCACUUUCCUCAAGACCCCUGCUCCAUUCUCAUUGUUCCCACUCUUGGCAAAGAGUCUCACCUCUGAUUUCACUAAGAAAUUGGAAGCCAUGAGUUAAGAACAUUAUUUUCCCUUCUCUUUGGCUCUGAACUUCUCCAUAUCUUCAGUCAUCUUCUCCUCCUUUCUGGAAAGAAAUAUUUUCCUGCCCCUUGAGGGCUAAGUUCUGUGUCUGAGUUCAGGCUUUCCUUGCUUUCAACUGAUUACCCCCCUUUGCUAUAGCUUCAAGCGCUCUUUCUUUCCUGGCUGUUCCCCAUGAGUCAAGAAAAAUGCUUUGACGCUCUCCAUCCCUACCACCCUCUCAUCUUCUUGUUACUGCCAAGCUCUUUAGAAAGUUCUGCUAUUUUUAUAGAAAUGAUGCAUGUUCGUGCAAACACUUUAAACAAUACCAAAGAGCAAAAUGAAAAUAACUGUUACCCAAUAUCCUAACACCCAUAGGUAGCUGCUAUCAGAAAUUUGAUGACCAUGCUUUCAACUUAUUUUCUAUGUACACAUUCAUAGAUACAUGUAUAUAUUUAACACAAAAGAGGCUACACUGUACAUGCUCUUUUGUGACUACUUUUUGUAACCAACUAUGUCCCCCUAGCAUAAUCUAUAGCCUAUUUUGUAACUACAAAAGGUACUGCAGGGAAUGUAAAUAGCACAAUGACUUCCCUGUUCACUACUUAUCUG